rnacentral:rRNA from 1 species
UACGUAGGGCGCAAGCGUUAUCCGGAAUUAUUGGGCGUAAAGAGCUCGUAGGCGGUUUGUCGCGUCUGCUGUGAAAACUCGGAGCUUAACCCCGGGCCUGCAGUGGGUACGGGCAGACUAGAGUGCGGUAGGGGAGACUGGAAUUCCUGGUGUAGCGGUGAAAUGCGCAGAUAUCAGGAAGAACACCAAUGGCGAAGGCAGCUCUCUGGGACGGUACUGACGCUGAGACGCGAAAGCGUGGGGAGCGAACAGG